AUUGAACGCUGGCGGCAGGCCUAACACAUGCAAGUAGAGCGGAGCGGCGGACGGGUGAGUAAUGCCUAGGAAUCUGCCUGGUAGUGGGGGAGAACGUCAGGAAACGUGAGCUAAUACCGCAUACUAUCAGAUUAGCCUAGGUAGGAUUAGCUAGUUGGUGGGGUAAAGGCCCACAAAGGCGACGAUCCGUACCUGGUCUGAGAGGAUGAUCAGUCACACUGGAACUGAGACACGGUCCAGACCCCUCCGGGAGGCAGCAUUGGGGAAUAUUGGAAAAGGGGCGAAAGCCUGACCCAGACAGGCCGCGUGUGUGAAGAAGUUUUUCGGAUUGUAAAGUACUUUAAGUUGGGAGGCGUUACCAACAGAAUAAGCACCGGCUAACUUCGUGCCAGCAGCCGCGGUAAUUC
rnacentral:rRNA from 1 species